GAGGGCUGAGAGGGUGGAGGGUUGAGGGGGAGGUGGCUGGAGGCUGAUCCAAGGCCUGAUGGAGCGGAAAUGAACCGGCUUUGUUGCAGGUUUGAUAUCAGACACAAAAACCAACUGUAUCCACCUAAUUCAAAGCGGAAUAACUGAGUUUAGACAUUUUUGUUCCUUUUUGAGAUGUAUAGUUUGCUGCUGGUGGUUUCAUGAGGCACUUACUAUGCUUGCAGCCCAUAUGCAUUUACCCUGGAGCUGUAUAUGUAGCAAUUGAAGGUUGCUACCCAUGAAUUUUAUGUGACGUAUGUGAAAAUAGAUACCCAUUAUUAACUUUUUUUUUAUGUGAGUUGAGCGACAAGCUAGUAUUAAA